rnacentral:rRNA from 1 species
GACGAACGCUGGCGGCGUGCUUAACACAUGCAAGUCGAACGAUGAAGCAAAGAAUCGAAGCUUCGGCAGAAAUUCAAUUCGGAUUAGUGGCAGACGGGUGAGUAACGCGUGAGCAACCUACCUCUUACAAAGGGAUAGCCUCGGCAAACCAGGAUUACUACCAUCAUACAUUGUGACGAAGCAUUUCGAUGCAAUCAAAGCUACGGCGGUAAGAGAUGGGCGCGGGUCCGAUUAACCGGAUGGUGAGGUAACGGCUCACCAUAGUGACGAUGGGUAACCGGGCGGAGAGGGGGAACGGUCACACUGGAACUGAGGCACAGUCCAGACUCGUACGGGACGCAGCAGUGGGGAAUAUUGCACAAGGGAGGGAACUCUGAUGCAGCGACGCCGCGUGAGUGAUGAAGGAAUUCGUAUCGUACAUCUCUGUUCUAUGGGAAGAAAAGGACGGUACCAGAGGAGAAAGCACCGGCUAACUACGUG